AAGCAACUUUUUUUUUUGUUCUUCCACAGGCCUGGACACUGUUCCUUUAGGCCAGGAUGCCCGUUGCCAGGAGUUGGGUAUGUCGUAAGACAUAUGUCACCCCCAGGCGGCCCUUUGAAAAGUCACGGCUUGACCAGGAGCUGAAACUGAUCGGUGAAUAUGGGCUGCGGAACAAGCGUGAAGUAUGGCGAGUGAAGUUCACUUUGGCCAAGAUCCGCAAGGCUGCCCGUGAGCUGCUCACCCUGGACGAGAAGGAUCAGAGGCGUCUCUUUGAGGGCAACGCUUUGCUGCGACGUCUGGUCAGGAUUGGGGUACUGGAUGAGGGCAAAAUGAAGCUGGAUUACAUCCUGGGUCUGAAAAUUGAGGAUUUCCUGGAAAGGCGUCUCCAAACCCAGGUCUUUAAGCUGGGCCUGGCCAAAUCCAUCCACCAUGCCCGGGUGCUCAUCCGUCAAAGACACAUCCGCCUGUGCAGGGAUAUAUGCGCCAAUGUCCCAGCCAUGUGCCUUUCCACCCCACCAACCCUUUCUUUGGAUUGGAACCCUGGAUAGCUCAAAAGCUCUGCAACCCACCUUAUGAGGCUGUGUGCCAAAAACCCAUAAAGUUUUCGGCAAGGCUCACUGCGGCUCAGCCGUACACCUUGCGAAGGUCUUGCCAUCCGGGCAGUAGAGUGUAAGGAAGCAAGUGGUGAACAUCCCUUCCUUCAUUGUUCGCCUGGACUCCCAAAAGCAUAUUGACUUCUCCCUCCGCUCACCAUAUG